CAGGAGCGGCCGGCGACGCGGCCCGCCGUCACUCUCAGUACCCAAACGACGACGCCGCAUACCGCAUCGCGGAACCGUCUUUGACUCUUCACAUCACCACUAAACCGCCAAACACUCCCAAGAAGUCCCUAAACCCACGCCUAUAAAACUCGGGCUCCGAUAGUCCCGUCACAACGACCGGAGACGUGUGUUAAACAUCCGCGAGCAAACGGAAUUCCCGUGACCACCAUGUGCAUUCAAGACAGGAAGACCGGCUCCAGUUAUGCAAUCUGACAUUUCGCCGGAAAACACAAUGUAUCUACGCAGCUGAAAAAAAUCUUACGACAAGAUGAUCCAGCCAACACGACGGGUUACACGGAGGCAUAAGCCGCGUCGAAGCAUGAAGAAAGAACACCACGAAAUCAGCUGCAGACAGAAUAAAAGCACAAUGAAAUAACACCUGUCAUCUAAUAGAACAAUCCAUACUAAAAGUUUUCUACCGCGGCGUCUCAAGCAUACCUUCCUACGUACCUACUUCACAAGGGAGCCUU